GACAGAGGCCUCGAGCGUUAGGCGGAAUCACUGGGCUUAAAGCGUGUGUAGGCGGAGGCGUAAGUACCUUGUGAAAUCCCACGGCUCAACUGUGGAACGGCUUGGUAUACUGCGUCUCUUGAGUCACUCAGGGGCGAGCGGAACAGAUGGUGGAGCGGUGAAAUGCGUAGAUAUCAUCUGGAACGCCAAUGGUGAAGACAGCUCGCUGGGGGUGUACUGACGCUGAGACACGAAAGCCAGGGGAGCGAACGGG
rnacentral:rRNA from 1 species